rnacentral:rRNA from 1 species
GACGAACGCUGGCGGCGUGCUUAACACAUGCAAGUCGAACGGAAAGGCCCUGCUUUUGUGGGGUGCUCGAGUGGCGAACGGGUGAGUAACUCGUGAGUAACCUGCCCUUGACUGUGGGAUAACUUCAGGAAACUGGGGCUAAUACCGGAUAGGAGCUCCUGCUGCAUGGGGGGGGUUGGAAAGUGUCGGCGGUUGGGGAUGGACUCGCGGCUUAUCAGCUUGUUGGUGGGGUAGUGGCUUACCAAGGCUUUGACGGGUAGCCGGCCUGAGAGGGUGACCGGCCACAUUGGGACUGAGAUACGGCCCAGACUCCUACGGGAGGCAGCAGUGGGGAAUCUUGCACAAUGGGCGGACGCCUGAUGCAGAAACGCCGCGUGCGGGAUGACGGCCUUCGGGUUGUAAACCGCUUUCGCCUGUGACGAAGAGUGAGUGACGGUAAUGGGUAAAGAAGCACCGGCUAACUACGUG